rnacentral:rRNA from 2 species
GUGAACCUGCGGAGGAUCAUUG